rnacentral:lncRNA from 1 species
UUGGGGGUUCCCUUCCCGCUGGGACGAGCCUCUGACUGGGCUGAACGAGAACAGCCGAGUGGAGGCGAACGACCGGGAGGAUUUCUACCGACUUAAGGACAUGUCGGUACCGAAGCAGAGGGAGCUUGUUACCGAACAAGCCCUCUAUGACGCCGGUCUGAGCCUGAUCCCCCAUCUAGGUACUGCUCGGCCCAUCAGUUGUCUUUUUGCUUCUCGUUUGUCCCCGAACACG